rnacentral:rRNA from 1 species
UACGUGGGGGGCUAGCGUUGUCCGGAUUUAUUGGGCGUAAAGAGCGUGUAGGCGGCUUGGCAAGUCUGCUGUGAAAACUCGAGGCUCAACCUCGAGCUGUCGGUGGAAACUGCUUGGCUAGAGUCCGGAAGAGGAGAGUGGAAUUCCUGGUGUAGCGGUGAAAUGCGCAGAUAUCAGGAAGAACACCUAUGGCGAAGGCAGCUCUCUGGGACGGUACUGACGCUGAGACGCGAAAGCGUGGGGAGCGAACAGG